rnacentral:rRNA from 1 species
AGAGCGAACGCUGGCGGCAGGCUUAACACAUGCAAGUCGAACGCGUGUAGCAAUACACGAGUGGCGCACGGGUGAGUAACGCGUGGGCAUCUGCCUCAUGGUUCGGAAUAACCCCGGGAAACUGGGGCUAAUACCGGAUGGUACCUUCGGGUUAAAGAUUUAUCGCCAUGAGAUGAGCCCGCGUCCGAUUAGCUAGUUGGUGAGGUAACGGCUCACCAAGGCGACGAUCGGUAGCUGGUCUGAGAGGACGAUCAGCCACACUGGGACUGAGACACGGCCCAGACUUCUACGGGAGGCAGCAGUGGGGAAUAUUGGACAAUGGGGGCAACCCUGAUCCAGCCAUGCCGCGUGAGUGAUGAAGGCCUUCGGGUUGUAAAGUCUCUUUUAGCGGGGACGAUGAUGACGGUACCCGCAGAAUAACGCCCCGGCUACUUCGCGCCAGCAGCCGC